AUGAACGCUGGCGGCGUGCCUUAGGCAUGCAAGUCAAUGGGGAUUCGAGCAAUCGAAUCAACCGGCAGACGGGUGAGUAACACGUAGGAAUCUACCCUUUGGUGUGGAAUAGCUCGCCGAAAGGCGGGGUAAUACCGCAUAAGCCCUUCGGGGGAAAGGCCGUAACUGGCCGCCGAUGGAUGAGCCUGCGUCCUAUCAGCUUGUUGGUGGGGUAAAGGCCUACCAAUGCGAUGACGGGUAGCUGGUGUGAGAGCACGACCAGCCACAAGGUUACUGAGACACGGAGCCUACACCUACGGGUGGCAGCAACCGGGAAUAUUGCGCAAUGGACGAAAGUCUGACGCAGCGACGCCGCGUGGAGGAAGACGCCUCUUGGGGUGUAAACUCCUUUUUUUAGGGAAGAAGUUCUGACGGUACCUAAAGAAUAAGGACCUGCAAACUACGUGCCAGCAGCCGCGGUAAUACGUAGGGUCCGAGCGUUAUCCGGAUUCACUGGGCGUAAAGUGUAUCGUAGGCGGUUUAUCAAGUAUGUCGUUAAAGUCCGAGGCUUAACUUCGGAAGUGCGGCGUAAACUGGUAGACUUGAGGUUGUUCGGGAGUGCUGGAAUUCAUGGUGGAGGGGUGAAAUCCGUUGAUACCAUGGAGAACACCAAGGGCGAAGGCAGGCACUUAGAACAAUUCUGACGCUGAUGAACGAAAGCUAGGGGAGCGAAAGGGAUUAGAGACCCCUGUAGUCCUAGCCGUAAACAAUCCUUACUAGUUGGUCGGGGUUUCCUGGCUGACGUAAGCUAACGCGUUAAGUAAGGCGCCUGGGGAGUACGAUCGCAAGAUUAAAACUCAAAGGAAUUGACGGGGGAGCGCACAACCAGUGGAGCAUGUGGUUCAAUUCGAUACGAAGCGUAGAACCUUACCUGGGCUUGACAUGAUACUGCAACUCCUAGGAAACUAGGAUUCUUUCGAAGGUGUAUCACAGGUGGUGCAUGGCUGUCGUCAGCUCGUGUCGUGAGAUGUUGGGUUAAGUCCCGCAACGAGCGCAACCCCUGUCCUAUGUUGCCAGCGUGAAAGACGGGGACUCAUAGGAGACUGCCGGUGACAAAUCGGAGGAAGGUGGGGAUGAUGUCAAGUCAUCAUGCCCCUUAUGCCCUGGGCUACACACGUGCUACAUUGGCCGGUACAAAGGGCUGCAAACCCGUGAGGGGGAGCGAAUCCCAAAAAACCGGUCCCGGUUCGGAUUGGAGGCUGAAACUCGCCUCCAUGAAGGCGGAGUUGCUAGUAAUCGCGAAUCAGCAACGUCG
rnacentral:rRNA from 1 species